rnacentral:rRNA from 1 species
UGCCAGCCGCCGCGGUAAUACGGAGGGUGCAAGCGUUAAUCGGAAUUACUGGGCGUAAAGCGCACGCAGGUGGCUAGGUAAGUCGGAUGUGAAAGCCCUGGGCUUAACCUGGGAAUUGCAUUCGAAACUGCCUGGCUAGAGUAUGGGAGAGGGAAGUGGAAUUCCCGGUGUAGCGGUGAAGUCCGUAGAUAUUCGGAGGAACACCAGUGGCGAAGGCGGCUUUCUGGACCGAUACUGACGCUGAGACGCGAAAGCGUGGGGAGCAAACAGGAUUAGAUA